rnacentral:lncRNA from 1 species
UAAACUGAACUUUUUCCUUUUAGUUAGCAUUAGGGUUUAAACCCUAAACUGAACUUUUCCUUUCAGUCAGCAUUAGGGUUUUAAACCCUAAACUGAACUCUUUCCCUUUAGUCAGCAUUAGGGUUUAAACCUAAACUGAACUUUCCUUCAGUCAGCAUAGGGUUUUAAACCCUAAACUGAACUCUUUCCCUUUAGUCAGCAUUAGGGGUUUAAACCCUAAACUGAACUUUUUCCUUUAGUCAGCAUUAGGGUUUUAAACCCUAACUGAACAUUUCCUUUCAGUCAGCAUUAGGGUUUUAAACCCUAAACUGAACUUUUUCCUUCCAGUCAG